GACGAACGCUGGCGGCGGGCUUAACACAUGCAAGUCGAACGGAAAGGCCCUGCUUUUGUGGGGUGCUCGAGUGGCGAACGGGUGAGUAACACGUGAGUAACCUGCCCUUGACUUUGGGAUAACUUCAGGAAACUGGGGCUAAUACCGGAUAGGAGCUCCUGCUGCAUGGUGGGGGUUGGAAAGUUUCGGCGGUUGGGGAUGGACUCGCGGCUUAUCAGCUUGUUGGUGGGGUAGUGGCUUACCAAGGCUUUGACGGGUAGCCGGCCUGAGAGGGUGACCGGCCACAUUGGGACUGAGAUACGGCCCAGACUCCUACGGGAGGCAGCAGUGGGGAAUAUUGCACAAUGGGAGGAAGCCUGAUGAAGCAACGCCGCGUGCGGGAUGACGGCCUUCGGGUUGUAAACCGCUUUCGCCUGUGACGAAGCGUGAGUGACGGUAAUGGGUAAAGAAGCACCGGCUAACUACGUG
rnacentral:rRNA from 1 species